rnacentral:lncRNA from 1 species
UGAUUAUGAUUCUUUGUUUACAGUUAUGCCACCAUAUUAUUCAGCAUUUUAUUUGAGGGUCCACACACAUAAUGAAGUCAUUGAUAGAUAAUGCUUAGUUAGUGAUGACUACUGUUUUCAGUUACAGCACUUAAAAUAUUGUUUUCCCCCUGAGGACGCUCUUGGAGGUUGCUGCAAUGGAGCAGAAAUUGGCAGACCCCACCUUCAACAAACACGUGGUUGGCGUGGUGGCAGAAAUUGGAGGAAGAACAUUGGAUGAAGCCACCAGAAGAAUGAUGGCCUUCCUUUUAGACCACUCCCUAUCAAGAGAGUACAAUUUUGUUGGCUGCCAUGGAAAGCGAGAUUUCGAUGUUCAAACUGUUUGAGGUUGUAUAUGGGCCGUUGGGAGAGCGACAACAGAGGACUGAGAUUCUGCACUUUUGUUUUUGUAUGUGAAAUAUAGAGUUUUCUGACAGAGGACUGUAAAACUGCACUUUUGUUUUGUUUGUGAAAUAUAAAGUUUGUCAAAAGCCUUCACUUUUGAUACUUGUCUGUUAAUACACAUAUGUUAAUAAAUGUUCUG